GUUUAUUGAUAUCUCCGAUAUCUCCGAUAAGUUACAAAUAUGUACAUAUACAUGAAUCAAAAUAAACAAACAAGAGGGAGCCUUCGCAAAGGUUGCUCAUGAGAAGUCUCAGCAGUCGACAGAGCCCCAGAAAGAGUAGGCACCGGAGGGUGAUCAUUCGGAGCCUCAGUACUGGGCAGAACCCCAGAAGGAGGAGGCACCGAAGGUUGAUCAUUUGGAGCUUCAUUACGCGGUAC
rnacentral:lncRNA from 1 species